UGUAUUAGGUAGGGCCAAAGGUGAUGAGGUACAAACAUGUUUUAGCUUGAAGAGAGAGGCAUGCUAAGAAAGAGCCGCGACUCAGGAAUGUGAUCUCGGUAAGUUAAGCGGAACAAUUUGGUUUGGCUGCAUGCGCGAUGACACAUCCGACGUGAUGGUCGGUCGAGCGCUACACUGAGGAACAGAGGAAUCCUUGGGGGGUUUGAUGGAUGCGGGGAAGACAUUCUUGAGGAACGCCUCCGAAUAUUUCAGAAGACACUUCCAUAUCUGAUUGGGACAACUAGACAGAAGCACAGGAGUGGCCGCAACAAGUUGGAGAGGCCAAGGAAGGAUGGAGGACGAAGAGGGGCCCAUCAAGGGAUGGGGGGCAUCCAUAGAAAGGGAAUGGGGGGGGGGCCCACAUCAAAGUUUGCUGGCUGGAGAUUAUGGAGGCGAUUGUUCACUUCCUAAACGUGAGGGCGUGUGUGCACAAUUCAAUUUGUGUGUGUGUGUGUGUGUGUCAGGGGGGCUUGGGUUCUUGUUGGGGCCACAUUCCUCAUCAGCCAUGUACUUUGGGAUCACUUUAUGGUCGGUCAACUCCACAAAAUGGCAGACAUUCUUCAUGCAGGCGUGCCACGU